CUUGAUAUGUUGUGUUUUUAUCGGUUUUGAGUCUUUGUUUUCUUUCUUAUAUCAUAUGUUUUAUCGAGUCAAAGUGUUUUUUUAGAGUCUUUUAGUCGUUUAUCGAGUCUCUACAGGUUUUAGGUUGCUUCGGAGGAAAACGAGCUGUUUUGGGAUAUAAACACACUUUUGGAAAUGCAGUUUCGUUUAGAAGUGUCAGACGUUUGGCCUCAGAUGGAAUACUUCCCACCGUUAGAUCUUUCUGAAUUUUUGAUACAAGUUAGAUGAAGAUGUUAGAUUGAGUUUACAAGUGGUUUGAAGGAAAUCUACCGGUGCAUUCAAGAGUUAUACCCGAAUUAGUGAAGACAGGUCAUUCUGCCGAGCUUUUGAAGCAGUUGCGGAGUUGGAGACCAGAAGAUCUAGAUCGAUCGAUCCACUUGUGGAUCGAUCGAUCCCAUCCUCUGACGGACGAGAAGCAGUUUCCAGUGACUCGGGAUCGAUCGAUCCACCCACCGGAUCGAUCGAUCCCUUCCCCAGACGUAUUUUUGGCCCAGAUUUGACCCGAGUCACUCCAGAUCCGACCCGGCUCGUCUCCUAUUGUUUUAAAACCCUAAGCUCGACUUUUGAGACAUUAUCAUGGAUAUUUUUCAGUUCUAAACUUAGUUCUUUGGUUUGUAAACAACUUUGGGCAAAGGAAUCCAUCCUCUUGACACUUGGAGAAGAUUUCUAAAUCCUUUCUUGUUAUUUCUACAAUUUUAUCAUGUUUUCUUCAUUGAUUUUUGUUAUCUCUUUUUCUAUGUGUGAGUAGUUAUCCUAUUGGGUUUUAGGGUUCUAAUUAGGAGAUUCAAUGGAUUAAUGGAUUGAUUGUUGUUAGGAAUUCUCAUUCUCUAGGUUCUUUGAUUCACAUGUUCUUAAUGCUAGAAUAGGAUUGAUCACCCUGUUGUAGAUUAUAGGUUUUUCUAUGCAUCAAAAGUGUUCGAUAGAAUGCCUGAAAGAAUGUGAAUUGAGCAAUGUAUUCCUAGCCAAUGAAAGUUGACGUUAGGACGCAUUGUGAACUUAAUGAACUUGUUUGAUAAUGCGAAUUUGACUAGGAAAUUACAUGCGAAAGUUUAGUAAUCGAGUAGUCAAAUUUAGUGAUUAAUGUCUUGAAAGAGAAUUAGUCUAAAUGUGUUCAUGUUCAAGAACGGUGCUUAAUCAUUGAAUUCCUUGUCUCAUGUUUCUAUUAUUCGUUGAUCUCUGAAAUACCCUAAUGCCCAAUGUCUUUAAUUCAUAAGUUUAAUCGUUUAAAUUACUUGCAUUUUUAUUUAUAAUUCUGAAAACCCAAACAAAACAACUCUUCGCUUUAGCUAAGAACGAGUCUCGGAAGUCUUUAGUGUACCAUUGGUUCUUGUGGAUCGACCCCGUAUAUACUACCUUGCGGUUAAGUGUAUCGGGUAAUUACUCGAGUAAUCAAGUUGGCGCCGUUGCCGGGGACCAAUUGCGUUACCUAAGGAUUUAGGAUUAGUUUUUAGUCUAGAGCAUUUUUAUUUAUUACUAACUUUCAUUUGUUUUUUUUAUGCCAUGGAAUACAAUGAUUGGCCGCAAGAAGAAGAUGAUGAACCAUAUGUGGAGCCACCGUUUGAUGAGAGUGUUCUUACACCGGAACAAAAAGUGAAGUUGGAUGAACUUCACAACGAACAUCCGACAUUUGUUAGGAGUGAUUUAGCGAUCUUGAUCCGGUGUAAUCUCUUAUCACACCGGGCAGCAUGUGAAGGAAGAGAAGUCACAUUCUAUGAAGAACAAGAAGCCCGUGCGCUUGAAAAGGUAAUAUAUUGGGUUCCACCAAGCAAAUUAGAAGGUACAUGCGUUUCAACCCUUGAAAUUCAUGAUGUUGAGGAUAUUCAGUUGUCAUGCAUUGAAGAUGUGACUUCUAGUUUGCAUACUCCCAUGAUCAUUGAUGAAUGUUACGAUUUGAUAUGUGAGUCUCAACGACUAGAUACUUUAAGAGCAGCAAAACUUGCUAGGGAUUACCAUGAAAUAUGUUUUGAUAUUAAAUAUCAUUGUGCUUUGAAUGUUCAUGAUCUCGAGUUUAAGUUUUCAAUGCCUGAAAUAUCUAGAUCUCUUCUUGAUGAAUCUUUCCUAGGAUUUGUGCUUGAUAUUGAUAAGAUUUUGCAUGAGUAUGAAGAUCAUGAGGUUGAUUAUAUGGAUGGAGAUAUUGUGCUAUAUGAGAUUAAUGGCGAUGAAGUUGAUUAUUUUGUUCAAACCUCUUGUAACCAGGAAAUUGACUUUAUUUUUCCUCCAAAUGCAUUUGAUCCUCAUAAGCAUUCAACCAUCAAGGAAUAUUUCAAAGUAUAUGCUACAUUUGUAGUAAUUUUUCUUGAUGCGAAUUUUAUCUCUUUACCAUGGAUAAUAUUGUGUUACUUGGCACAUCUCAUUUCUUGCACUAACAUGAGAAGGACAAAAGGUCCAUUGGCUCAACCUUUUGAUUCUUAUGAUUAAUAUUUAGUGUUGAGAGGUCAAGCUUACGACCUAAAAUAAGCGCUUGGUGGGAGGCAACCCACAAUGUAUCCCAAGUAAGUUUUUUCUUUAUCUUUUUUGCAUUUUCAUUUUUAAAAUUUUUUUCUUUUGAGUGUGUAUGGCAUCAUUUCUUCGAAUUGUUUUCACACCGAGUCGGUGUGAAGCAAGUCGGGGGGAGGAUGUCAUUUGUCUACUAAUCGAGUUUGCUUUGGUUGUUUCUUUUGAUGUUUUCUCUUGAGUCGUCGAGUUCCUUUUAUCGAGUAAAAAAAAAAAAAAAAUUGUGUAUUUUAUUGAGUCAAAAUUUGUUUGAGAACUAUGAUCUUUUCUUGGGGAAUUGCACCGUGUUUGAUUACAUUGCCUUGGGACCAUUUUAGCACUAUUCGAUAACUUGGAAGUUCAGGAAAAUCCAUCACUUGAUCACUCUAUAGUAGUCCCUAUCUCUUUGAAAUUCGGAUGAAUUGAGCUUUAUCUUAUAUAUUUGAACUUAAUCUGGACUUAAUUUAUCUCACUUAGGGGCUUGAGAAUCAUGUAAUGGAUCAUACAUUCAGAGUUUUGUUUGCAUCAUUUUCACCACUCUUUGCUAACUCUGAAUGGCUAGACUCAUUUUUAGUCUAGUACCACACCUGUUUCCCCCAUCCAUUGUUUGAAACCUCAUGCAUUCUUAUAUAAUCAUCAUGAUAUGCAUCCAUGUGCGAAAACUACGGAGUAUACGAACCGACAUAGCUUUCCUUCUGUUAGGAUAGUGAUUUGUAGUUUACUGGUUGUUGAUAUGUUAUGAGAUUGAGCCACUAUGGUUUAGAGGUUGUAUUCAUGGGAUAUGUUGUUGUCGUUUGCGGUUUCUCUUGGUGCAAAUUUUGUGAGACACCGGUUCCACUCCCCUGUUUAUUAAAAAAAAAAAAAAAUGAAAAGAAGAAAUGGGAAAGGAGAGUGAAUGGAACCGGAAAUGUCGAGUUAUUCUUAGUUAUAUUGAUAAGCAUCAAGGGUACUCAUUGAUUUGAUUGGGAUAGUGUGUUGGUUAGUUUGAUCCGAGCUUAAGGGAAGCUAUGUACCUCCUAAUUGGUUUGUGUCUCACUGUGAUUUCGCAUAAUGACAUGCAUCCGUUUUACCCUGUUUGAGAACCCGAAACACUUGAGUCACCAAAUAAUAGCCCUUUCACCUAGCCCAUAACGUGUUUGAUAUCCCCUUAGUGAGAGUACAUGCCACUGCUAAUAAAUGUUAAAAGGUUAAGUUAUCUGAUUUUGGAAGUUCUUUUAGAUCUCGGGACUUAAUUUUGUUGCUACGGUUAUGGCAAAGUACAGUCUAGUACGGUUUGAUGAAUUUUGUGAUAGUGGUUUGCAGGAAAUUGAUAAGAUCAUGAUCCCGAAGAAAAUGUGAGUUCUCGUGUUUUCAAACCUCUUCUCUUGAUAAGGAUUUCUGCUUUCCUUGAGGACAAGCAAAGAUCUAAGUCGGGGGGAGUUGAUAUGUUGUGUUUUUAUCGGUUUUGAGUCUUUGUUUUCUUUCUUAUAUCAUAUGUUUUAUCGAGUCAAAGUGUUUUUUUAGAGUCUUUUAGUCGUUUAUCGAGUCUCUACAGGUUUUAGGUUGCUUCGGAGGAAAACGAGCUGUUUUGGGAUAUAAACACACUUUUGGAAAUGCAGUUUCGUUUAGAAGUGUCAGACGUUUGGCCUCAGAUGGAAUACUUCCCACCGUUAGAUCUUUCUGAAUUUUUGAUACAAGUUAGAUGAAGAUGUUAGAUUGAGUUUACAAGUGGUUUGAAGGAAAUCUACCGGUGCAUUCAAGAGUUAUACCCGAAUUAGUGAAGACAGGUCAUUCUGCCGAGCUUUUGAAGCAGUUGCGGAGUUGGAGACCAGAAGAUCUAGAUCGAUCGAUCCACUUGUGGAUCGAUCGAUCCCAUCCUCUGACGGACGAGAAGCAGUUUCCAGUGACUC
rnacentral:lncRNA from 1 species